AGAUGGACGAUGGCGGAGUUCAGGGUGAGCUGUCCAAGAGACCGUGUGUCACACAGCAAGUGAGAGAUUUGAGAUCCUUGAUCAGCCACUUAGAAUCAUCACCCUUUCUCAGAGCCCCAUGGAACCUGGUGGGAAAGCCAUUCGCCCAGGCGUGUUGGGACAGCAAAAUGACUGAGAACCAAGGCCCACAUGGGUGAUCUCAGUGACUCCCAAAAUGUGGCUUUCUCAAGGCUCCAGGAGAAUUAGAAUGCCAGUAAACCCACCUGUGGCAUCCACUGACAUUGAACCCAAGGAUGGCUUCCCGGAUUGCUAAGAAACUCCCCCGUUGUCUUUGGCUUCUCCAAAAUGAAGAAAUUGGGGUGAAGUAGCUCUCGGUGUCUGUUUCCUGCAAGCAUUCUCUGACAAGUUCACUUCUUGAGCAUUGUCACCAAGGUCUAUCCAGGUGGAAAAGCAGCUGAAAUCAGAACACUCCUCAACGUGACCUCACCACAGAGCCACAAAAAUGGCCUGCCAAGAGCAGAGAAGAUGAGGAUAGAAAGCGAUUCACUGAAUCAGCAGCUCCAGGGAGGUCAGAAAGAGAUGGAAUCGGCCCUGCACGUUUGGCAAAGAGAAGAGAAUGGAGAGGGCCCCUUCCCUGUCCUGGCUUAGCUUCCUAUUCCAGACACAACAUUCUGUGCUCCCUUCAAGUCAAUAACCUCUUCAAGAUGUGGCUGUUCUCGACCCACUGCACUUCUGCAUGACCUGUCAGAGCCUGGAAGGAUGUGUGGGACCCACCUGUUCUGUAAAAAGUGCCCGGUGCCUGAACUGCGGGUCAAGCCCCACGGAAGUGGGGUCCCAGGAGAGGUUGAGGCAGCGUUCGUUUGACUUACAAGGUCUUUGAUUGCCACGAGCUCAACGAGACAGGGGUCACAAGCUAUCACACCUGUUGGAGUCAGGCAGCGAAUGUAAAUGAGUGAAGCCGACCCGGUGUGAGACGACGGUGCAAGGAAUUGUGGUGAAUUGGAGAAUCAAGGUCCGUAUAAAUGCAGCACCUGCUACUCAGCGUCAACCCGCUUAGUAAGUCCCGCCUGCCCCUCCAUCGGGACCGCACUGACUGCCCCCCACACCCAAGCCGCGAGUGCACCCCGGCUGCCUUCAGAGGAGCCCAGCACCAGGAACCCCCCCACGGUCCUCCAAAGAGGGACUGCUUCCUGCUGGCGGGGCUCGGGUGAGGGGUGAGAGAGAGCCCUGCGUUGAGGCUGGUCUUCAGGGGAAGGCUCUGGAAACCAGCAGUGUGGGUCUCCUGGGACUUCGAGGCACCUCGCAGCUGCCUGAGGAACGGCUGGCCAUAAGGAAGCAAGAUACGAUGGUGAUAAAAACAGAAAAGUAGAUAGAUGUGGCUGGUUGUUGGAACAUUCUCUGGAGCCUUACUGCCCCAGGUCAAAUUCUGGCUGCGCCAUCUACUAGCUCUUAAGAGAGAUUUGUUUUACUUCUCUGUACCUCAGUUUCUCAUCAGUAAACUCUUCGGCCAAAAUGUCACUCAUAGUGCACUGGAGGAGGUAGGGUACCUCCACAUUACGGUCUCCGUCAAACACCCCGUACAGGGCCUCCCGGCUGUCACAGAAGUUGUUCACAGACAGGGCCGCGACACACAACCUGCGAGGCAAGAGUGAAGUGUAUCGAGUCUGCUCAUCUUUCCUUGCCCAGCCCCACACUUUUAACAGUCUUGUCUCUUCCUUCAUGACCUCAGAUGGGGGAAGAACAAACUAAGGUAAACUCAUCCCGGCUAAAUUCUGUAAAGCAAAUCAGUCUGAUUAACACUGAUACUUGACAUAUGCCCCACCCCCCCCCCAUCUUCUGAUUUGAUUUUUAAAUGGCAGAGAAAGAGAUAGAAUAGGAGGUAUGGGAAAUAAUAAAAGAUUCUGAAUCUGUAUGUCCAUAUUCAUUCAUAAACAUUAAGGUUGGGCAAAAAUGGAGUAACAACUGAAACACUGGGACCUUUUGUAUGUUAUUUUCCCCCCCUCCCCCAAACAACUUAAAAAGGCAGGGGGAAAAAAACCACCUAUGGAACAAUAGUAUUCAGACACUGGCUGAUAAGAAGUGCAGGUCAGGGAGCAAGCAUAAAGCUUGCCCAGCUUAUUGCCUGGAGGAAGUUUCUGGGCUGCAGGCAGAGCAGUGGAGGUGGGCGUGUGCUCUGGAGGCCUGCAGACACUCCAGGCCUUUGCAGAACCACGUUGUUUCCAAGUAACUGUGGCCCAUGCACUCUCCAAAAUUAAACACAGAGGGGAAAAAAAAAAAAGGCAGACAAAUAAGAGGCCAGGGCAUCAGUGAGUGCCAGGGCAACCUCAAGCAGCCAAAUACACAGGGAACUGGAGUCUUCAAAAGAGGGGAGAGAUAGGAAAAACCUUUGAAGAAUUUAAUGGCUGAAAAGAUUUCAAAUCUGAUGAAAACUAUAAACCUAUAGAUACAAGAAGCUCAACAAAUAGUAAGCAAAAGAAAAAACUGCUGAAAAUCAGGAAUAAAGGUGGGAGAGUAGGAAGAGGAACAAAGACACGAAGGACAGCAACCAAUGCAGAAGACAGUGAAGCAACAUCUUUAAGGUACUGAUAGUAAAAAAAAAAACCUGUCAACCUGGAUUUCCAAAUCAGUGAAAAUUGCUUUCAAAAAGGUAAGGUGCAAUGAAGAUGUUUUCAGAUGCACAAAUAACUUACUACCAAAAGACUGGCAGUAUAAGAAACAUAAAAGGAAUACAUGAAGCAGAAGAAAGUACCAGAUGGAAAUCUGGAUCUACAUAAAAGAAUGAGGUGUACAAGAAAUGACAAAUAGAUGAGUAAAUAUAAAACUCAUCUGAGAAAUCAUUUUCGAACAGUGGUUCUCAAUGGGGGCAAUUUUACCCGCAGGACCCAUUUUUGAUUGUCACAGUUGGGAGAGGCCAGGGAUGCUGCCAAACACCCUCCAAUGCAUAGGACAAUGCCGCCCUCCCUGCCCAACGAUAUUACCUGGCUCAAAAUGUCAAUAGCACUGAAGUUGAGAAACACUGCUUUAGAAAAUGACUAAAGUAAAAAUUAUAACCAUGUAUUUCGGGGUUUAUAACAUAAGUAAAACAUGAGAAUACUGCAAAGACCAGGAGAGGGGAAAUGGAAAUACACACUGUAAGGUUCUUAUAUGUGAAGUGAUAGAUUAACUUAUUUGAAGGUAAACUGUAAUUAAAGGUUAUACUACAAACCCUAAAGGCAUAAUAAUGAAUAAAGGAGAUAAAAUGGAAUCAUAAAUACAAAAGAAUGAAGAAAAAGAAAAUAAAGAACAGAUGAGACAAAUAGAAAACAGCUGGCAGAUUUAAACCUAACCAUAUCAAUUUCAAUAAAUAUACAAGUGGUCUAAAUACUGCCCCAAAAGACAAAGUCAGACUGGAUUAAAAAAAAAAAAGGAUAAAAGAUCUAUGCUAAACUAAAGAUGAUACAUUAAGAUCAAAGUAUAUUACAGAACAAAGAAUAUUCAGUUCAUUUUAAAUGUUUACACACUUAAGACAACUUUGAAACACAUGAAGCAAAACUGAUAAAACUAGGAGAAACAAACCCAUUAUUAUAGUCUCUCAGCCACUGUCAAGUAGAUAAUCAGUAAGAUAUUCAAGACUUCAACAUCAACUUCAUCUAAUUGACACCCUACCCCAAUAGCACCAGCAUACUCAUUUUUUCCAAAUGCAGAGAAUAUUUACCCAGAAUAUUCUAGGCCACAAAAAGUCUCAAUAAAUUUAAAGGAUUCAAGUCAUUCAAAAUACAUUCUCCAGUCAUACUGGAGAAAUUGCUUAGAAGGAAAUGUAUAGCUCUAAACGCUUAUAUUACAAUAUUAAUGUUCUAAGCUCAAAUCAAGAAACUAGAAAAGAGCAAAACAAACAAAGCAAGCAGAAAGAAAAUAAUAGAAACAAAUAGGGAAAAACAAACUAGAAAACAAAUAGGGAAAAAUCAACAAGACCAAAAGCUGGUUCUUUGAGAAUAUCAAUAAAAUUAAUAAACCUCAAACCAAACUGAUCAGUAUAAAAAGACAAAUUACCAAUAUCAGGAAGGAGAGCCAUUACUACAGAUCCUACAGAUUUUAAAGCAUAAUAAUAUGAACAAGUUUGUCAAACGUGAAAACUAGACGAAAGGGAUAAAUUCCUUAAAAGACUUAAAUUACCAAAGUUCAUUCUAGAAGAGAUAGAUAAUCCCAUAGCAAAGAAACAGAAUGUGUAGUUAGAAACCAAAGAAAAUUCCAGGCCCAGAUGGCUUUUAUUGGUAAAUUCUACCAAACCUUUAAGGAAGAAAUAUCAAUUCUGUACAAACUUUUCAAGAAAACUAAAGAAGAGGAAACAGUCCUCACCAAUGAGGCCAGCAUUACCCUGAUAUCAAAGCCAAAGACAUCACAAGAAAAGUAUAGGCAUGAGCAACAAAUUACCAGCAAAUUGAAUCCAGCAGCAUAUGAAAAGGAUAAUACAUCGGGACCAAGUAGAACUUAUCCUGGGCAUGCAAAGCUGAUUCAACAUUCAAAAAUCAAUGUAAUUUACCACACCAACUGACUAAGGAAGAAAACAAAUGGUCAUCUCAAUUGAAUGCAGAAAAAGCCUAUGGCAAAAACUUUUAGCAAAGUAUGAUUAGAAGGGAAUUUUCUUAACGAUAAAGGGUAUCUACAAAAAUACCUUCAGUAAUCAUAUUUGAUGUGAAAGAAUAUAUUCUCACCAAAGAUAUAUGGAUGGAUGAUAAAUGCAUGGAAAGAUGAUCAGCAUCAUUAGUCAUCAUGAAAAGCAAAAUUAACCCACAAUGAGCUAUCACUAUCAGAAUGGCCAAAACUGCCACCACCACCUUAUAACAGGAAGCACUGGUAAGGAUGUGCAACUAGAAUUCUCACACAUUAUGGCUGGGAAUGCAAAAUUGGAAAGGAAUCUGGUUAGCACCUCUUCAUAAGAAGCAAGCCUGAAAAGCUUGAUUACAAUUCUCAGGAAAAUCAAUAUUUGCACCUGAGACAAGGAAGAAAAAGAAAUUGAAAUUGAGAUGGACAAGUCCUGGCAGCAAGACAAGCAGCUGACCUCACAGGGAAUGAACAUGAAACUCCUGCCAACCUAAUUUAUUGUUUUUUAAAGAUUUAUUCAUUUAUCUUAGAGUGUAUCAUGAAAGCGAGUGUGUGAGCUGGGGGGUGGGGCGGGUGCAGAGGGGGAGAAAUCCGUAAGCAGACUCCCCGCUGAGCACAGAGCCCCACGUGGGGCUCAAUCCCAGGACUGGGAGAUCAUGACCUGAGAUGAAAUCAAGAGCUGGCCGCUUAACCGACUAAGCCACCCAGGCGCCCCCUGCCAAACUAGUUUAAGAUUGUAAGAAACAGCUCCAUGAACCACUAAUCAAUAACAGAAGUGACUGAAUAUGGACAAUCAAGGCUACUUCUCCUUCAAUACUAUCCCCUGUUUUGCUCGGUAAACAGGCUUCAAAGGCCGACUUUUCCAAAGGGCAGGGAUGCAUUUCAAUACUUAGGCCUUCUCCAUACCCUGGAGUCUCACAUAGACUGAAUGUGUCAGUUACACUGUAUCCUAGCAACAUCUCUCACAAAGAGAAGAGUAUGUGAUGCCAAGCAGGGCUCAGCUUACUGUUCAACGUAAGGCUUGAGGUGGCCUCACUUUAGGGAAUCCUGCUCAGAUCAAUGUGACACGAGGGAAGUGUGUGUUAGCACUGAGCAUCUUCCCCACUAAAGAAGGGAGGCGGGCUGGAGGCGCUUCUCACUCCAAAGUUUCACCCACUUGUUUUUCACCCCUGAGGCUUCAGUGUAUCCAUGGCUCCAGACAGCUGGGGCUCCAGAUGCAUCUCCUGCAGAAGGCUGAUCAAUCUUGAAACAGCGGAUAUUACUAACAAGAGAAAAGAAAGGGAUGGGAAUCAUUAAAGUCAAAGAUGUGUGAAAUGCUACCUUCAUUUGAGAGAUGAAAAACACCUGCUAAGCACUCUGUACUUACCAUUUGUUUAACAUGUCUAAAAUAUUUAUCAGCAAGAACUAGCUACUCAACAAAGUGAAAAUAAAGGGGCAUGAAAAUUAGUUUUUAUCAACAUCCUAGGGUGGUAAUUUGAGACCUUUACACAUCACACUUCGAUGGCUGCUGUCUCCUGGGCAUGAAAAAGACCGCUCUCAACCUUAGUAUGAGAAAUCAUUAUGUUGGGUGUAUUCUUACGGGCUGAACACCCAGAUUUGAAAAGUACGAAACCUAAUCCACAAUCAUAUUGUAUUUGAGAGAAUUCUGCAACAUUCAUCCUCAAAUCCAAUUUCUGCCCAUAUCACCCCGUACAAUAUUUCACAAAUACUGAGGACUUGUCAUCCCUGAAGCUUCCAAUUCUUUGCUCAUUUGCAGCCAUUCGUGCUAAGACAUGAAAUUAUGAAAGGAGGAGUAUUUCAAUAAAUUACACAUUAACACUGUGAAUUAAACUGGGAGACAAGUCAUCUCACCUCGCUGUCACAUGCCAUAACUGGUCCAACAGGACCCAAGACAAAUAAUGAAAGUGUAAACUCUUGAAUGGGGUUUAUUAAAAAACACAAGUAUUCAGUGCCCUCAAACAGGAAGUCCUACAGAUGUGAAACAGUUUUUUAAAAAGGCUGGCUACCACACGGUGAAAUAAAUCCUACUUACUUAUAAAUUGCCACUAGUUUUUCCCCUCUAUGACUUCUACAAGAGAAAAAGCUUACAUAUAAUCUCUUAACACAGACACUUCUGUCAUGACCCCAAGAAUUUAACUCCAAAAUACAACAAACACUGAAUACCCUUCAACUCUAAGAAGUAAAUCUAUACCUAACUGUAUUCACUUUGAUUCUAGAAAUAGAUGAUUGCAAUUUCUUUGAAAUUUAAAAAUAUUUCGUGAAAGAAAAGUUUCUACUCUCAAUUACCAGCAAACAUUCACUCUUCCCUUUAUCCUACACUGGAAAAGUGCCAACAGAAAAUCCUGAAAUAAAACUAAUACCUUAUUUCACAGCAGAGCUAUAUAUCCUCUUUUCAAAGUUUUCAAUCCUAACAAUAAAAGAGAGGCAUUUAAAAAGACAGUCUGCCAUUAUCUGCUAUUCAUACGACCUGGCACCAGAUUUCAUCCCUGCACAAUGGUAAGCAAAUGAGAAGCGUUUCUUAAGGCCUACCUAAGGUUCUCAUGACAUCUUCGCUGCCUUUCUGAAUUCCAGAGAAUUCAUUUCUAAAGACAUUUAUACUUUUUAUAGAACACAGAACCUUCAAAGAAAUAAUUCCAUUUCCUAGCCUGAAAUUAAAGAAAAAGUAAUCCUUAAACUACCCUCUCCCAAUCCCUUCUGGUUAAGUGGGGGUUUCGCCCUCUCUGCCUAACUGAACAGUGUGGCUGAGAAGCGGUCCGAAAUGACCUGAAUGUCGACUCUUGUACCUCUUUAAACGAGUCUGGGAGAACAUGGGAGCUGGAGCUCACACAGAGGAGCCACCACAUGCCCGAUAAACAGGCCAAGCCUCGAGAAGCACAAGAAAUACAUUAGAUACGGAAGCUCUCCCAAGUUAGGAAGAAGCCAUAGCCUUCCCGCUGUUAAACAGAAGGCAACAUCUUUAACAUAAAAGAGUUACGAUUUCAUUGUUACCUUUUUAAAAUCUAGGACCACAUGUGUUUCUUUGUAGUUGCUCAGGCCAGUUCAGUAACAUGUUCACUGCAGAGACUUGAAUAGAUAGAUUUUUCUUACACAUGUAUAAUAGUGGGGUCAUUCUAUAUAUGUGGUUUUGCAUAUUUUCUAAUUACGUCAUGAACAUUUCCCCAUGACAUUUUAUGUUCAUCCUAAAGAUAAUUAGAUAUAUCUUGAUGACUACCUCUGUGCCUAAAAUGAGCACCACAUUUCUGAUUAUUUUUUAGAAAUAAUAGAAACAGAAAUAGAAAACCUUGGUCUAAGUAUGUGAAUAUUUUUAAAAGCUUGAUACAGAGUCAAUAGCUUUUAAGAAAAGUUAUGUCAAUUUACAGUACUCCAGCAGCACCAAUGUGAGGGAGGAAAAUGUUAUUUAAAUAUUUAAUAUUUCCUUGAUAUACUGAGAUUGAACAUCAUGGUUUCAUGUACCUAUCUGUACUUCUUUUGUGAAAUGUUAAUGUUCUUUGCUUGUUUGCUGUUUGAGUACUUUUCUUAUAAGAACAUUUUCUAUCAAGAACACUAAUGCUUUUAUUUUUGUUUUUUGUUUUUUUUGCCAGUGUUUCUUCUUAAGAAGUUUGUCAUUUGCCUUUUAGAUUUACUCUUGAUUAUUUCUGGAAAGAUAUUUCAAGUUUUUCUGUAUAAAACAUACUUUUAAAUAUUUAUAACAAAUAUCAAAACCAAUCUAUAUAUAUUGAUUUCUCCUCUUGUGAUCCCUGCCUCCCACCCCCCCCACCCCGUCUACAUUUUUUGGCCUAAAAAGUCAUAUAUGAUUUUUUCUUACUUUUAGAAAUUAUUUCAUUUUAUAGAGUUAACGCUAAUUUAGCUGGAAUGUAUUUUGGUGUGUAGUACAAAUUCAACUUUUUUCUCCAAACAGCUAUUUCCAUUUAUUAACUAAUUUUGAUAUAUUUUUAAUACAAAAUUUCAUAUAUUUGUAAUACUCAAAAAUUUACCUGUAUAAAGAUGAAAUAUAUAUUGAUAAUCCAUGCACUCUUAGUUCUGAGAAGUCCCUUAGCAAGUAUGUAGGCCAUCUUCCCCAUCACGUAGGUGAGAAAACUAAGGUCUGUACAGACUGAGGGAUUUGGGCCAAGGCUUCACAUACUGACUAACGGUGGAGAGUGUCUAGGUCCCCUGUGGCUUUCCUACAACACUCUACUUAAGCAGUAUUAUUCAAUUAUAUAUUGAAAUCAAUUAAGUACCUAAAACCAACAGGCACUAAUUAGGCCAAUUCUAUCCAGGAAUCACCUUGAGUGGUGUUCAAAUUCUGGCUUGCACUAAAAGCCUAGGAUAAUAUUAAUAGACUACUAAUGCGACUCUUUUUAAAAAAAUUCUCCUUUUCAGUUUUUUCUAAGAUAAUGGAAUACGACUUUUAGCAGUAGACAGUAUAACAGGGUUUAAGCAUAAAUGGCAUACAUAAUGACUAGUGUGUAUCCAUGUCCAAGACUUAGUUAAGACCGGCUGCAAAAAAAUUCUGCGAGAAUUCAGAAAAGUUUCAAGAAGGUAAUGAAGACCAUCCAUAAUCCUAUUAUCCAGAGAAUAACACUAUUGUAACAUUCUGUUUUAUAUCCUUGUGGGCAUUUUCCAGGUGUACACGCCCAAUGCACAUAUAUUUAUUUUGCAAAAAAGUGGGAACAUACCGUACAAAUUUCUCUGUCAACAUUCUCAUUUAACAUCAUAUGUAGAGAUCUUUAGAGUUAGUAAUGUAACUCUACAUCAUUGUUUUUAAUGGCUAUAUAAUAUUCAAUUGGGAAGCAUAAUUCAAUUCUCUUGACAUUUAGAGGUCUGUGAUGAAAAUUUUUUAAAGACAUCUUUUCUAAUGAGGUUUCCUUUAAUGUUUUACACAGUGAACCUGUAAUUCUCUAUCGACAUCAAGAAUGAGACCGUAUCAAAGAAUUCUUUCCCCAAACAAGAAGAUAAUUUAGCAGGAUCUAACUACCCCACACUCCCACUUUUGCUUAAAUAAUCUGGACUUCAGUUCCACAUUGUGCAUUUUCCCCACAUUAUGCAUCUCUUUCAAAAUCCUUUCAUAACAUUUGCAUUAAGCAUCACACCAUGUUAUCAGUAACUGAGAUGUAAGUUUACAUCUUGGCUAGUCAUUGCUCUCCCCUUGUCUUUCUGUCCUCUUUCCCUCUUUAUACUCAUUAUUCUUGUUCUCUUUUUGUCUGGAUACUUCCUCAAAAACUUUCUGACAGGACACCUGAGUAUCCAACUAUCUGAAAUUGUUUUUGGCCCUCCAUGAUGGUGAACUAUAGGCUCACAAAUCACCUCAAACAUGUGUAGAUACAGCUAAUAAAUCAACGGGUCCUUCAUAUUCUGUUCAAUGUUUUCACUAAGUUAUAAAUCCCAUUGUCAGAUGGGGCUGCCGAGCGUCACAAAAUACUUACUUCAGAAGUUCCAAGGUUUUGUGAUCGAGGGCAAGUCGGGGGUUUCCAGUCAGGUCUAGUUCUUGUAGUUUUGGAGGCAGGUUUUCUGGUAAAGUGACUUCGCUUAGCUCAUUACAGCUCAGGUCCACGCACUGAAUGAAUGAGGGGAAACAGGAAGUGAGGGCCUGGACAGAUGGUUCAGGUGGUUCUAUGCUCCUACCCUUUGCCCUGAGAAUCCGUCGGACCAUUCACUACACGAUGCUGGCCAAAUGCAGAAAAAUUACGUUGUCUGCUACCCUCCCAUAAACACUUAAAACAGAUUUUGCUAAAUGCAGCUAAAAUGUUUACUGUCUUUGACUAAUGCAGAAAAUCUGUGUUCUUUACUCUCCCCAUCUUUAUCCUUUUAAGCUGAUCUCUACAUUAAAAAAAUAAGCAUUAACUGAA